rnacentral:rRNA from 1 species
AAUAGUACCGGUAGUCCACGCCGUAAACGAUGGAUGCUAGCUGUUAUGCGUAUCGACCCGUGUAGUAGCGAAGCUAACGCGUUAAGCAUCCCGCCUGGGGAGUACGAACGCAAGUUUAAAACUCAAAGGAAUUGACGGGGACCCGCACAAGCGGUGGAGCGUGUUCUUUAAUUCGAGGCUAAGCGAAGAACCUUACCAGGGCUUGACAUCCUUGGAAUUUCUCCGAAAGGAGAGAGUACUUUAUUGGACCAAGUGACAGGUGCUGCAUGGCCGUCGUCAGCUCGUGUCGUGAGAUGUUUGGUUAAGUCCAUUAACGAGCGCAACCCUUAUGAAUAGUUGUAUUUUUCUAUUCAGACUGCCCCGGUAACGGGGAGAAGGGGGGAUGAUGUCAGGUCAGUAUUGCCCUUACGCCCUGGGCUAGAAACGCGCUACAAUGGCCGGUACAAUGCGCUGCCAACCCGCGAGGGGGAGCAAAUCGCAUCAAAGCCGGUCCCAGUUCGGAUAAGAGGCUGAAACUCGCCUCUUGAAGCCGGAAUCGCUAGUAAUCGUAGGCC